AGUGAACGCUGGCGGUAGGCCUAACACAUGCAAGUCGAACGGCAGCACAGUAAGAGCUUGCUCUUACGGGUGGCGAGUGGCGGACGGGUGAGGAAUACAUCGGAAUCUACUUUUUCGUGGGGGAUAACGUAGGGAAACUUACGCUAAUACCGCAUACGACCUACGGGUGAAAGCAGGGGAUCUUCGGACCUUGCGCGAUUGAAUGAGCCGAUGUCGGAUUAGCUAGUUGGCGGGGUAAAGGCCCACCAAGGCGACGAUCCGUAGCUGGUCUGAGAGGAUGAUCAGCCACACUGGAACUGAGACACGGUCCAGACUCCUACGGGAGGCAGCAGUGGGGAAUAUUGGACAAUGGGCGCAAGCCUGAUCCAGCCAUACCGCGUGGGUGAAGAAGGCCUUCGGGUUGUAAAGCCCUUUUGUUGGGAAAGAAAAGCAGCAAGUUAAUACCCCGCUGUUCUGACGGUACCAAAAGAAUAAGCACCGGCUAACUUCGUG
rnacentral:rRNA from 1 species